ensembl:rRNA 5_8S_rRNA 5.8S ribosomal RNA
GACUCUUAGCGGUGGAUAACUCGGCUCGUGCGUUGAUGAAGAACGCAGCUAGCUGUGAGAAUUAAUGUGAAUUGCAAGACACAUUGAUCAUCGACACUUCACAUGCACUUACCGGCCAGGGUUCCUACCCGGGCUGCGCCUGUGUGAGCAUCG